CCGUGCCCAAGAGAUCGGGAUAACACCUGGAAACAGAUGCUAAUACCGGAUAACAACAGAUGAUGCCUAUCAACUGUUUAAAAGAUGGUUCUGCUAUCACUCUUGGAUGGACCUGCGGUGCAUUAGCUAGUUGGUAGGGUAACGGCCUACCAAGGCGAUGAUGCAUAGCCGAGUUGAGAGAUGAUCGGCCACAUGGGACUGANACACGGCCCAAACUCCUACGGGAGGCAGCAGCA
rnacentral:rRNA from 1 species